UACAGAGGUCUCAAGCGUUGUUCGGAUUCAUUGGGCGUAAAGGGUGCGUAGGUGGCGCCGUAAGUGGGGUGUGAAAUCUCGGGGCUUAACUCCGAAACUGCAUUCCAUACUGCGGUGCUUGAGGACUGGAGAGGAGACUGGAAUUCAUGGUGUAGCAGUGAAAUGCGUAGAGAUCAUGAGGAAGACCAGUGGCGAAGGCGGGUCUCUGGGCAGUAACUGACGCUGAGGAGCGAAAAGCGUGGGGGAGCGAACAGG
rnacentral:rRNA from 1 species